UCCCUUUUGCUCACCCGCUGGCCACAGCCCUGGCCUGCAUCAUGGUACCGAUGCUCAUGUAAGCUUUCUGCUCUUGACUGAUUUCAAACUCACACAGUAAGGAGAGCACAAGAUGAACUCAGGUGAGGUCAUGAAGAAACGCUGAGGGGGGUCCUGUGGAUUAGAUAAAGGGGAGCCACUGGCUGGGAAAAACAGGGCAGUGACAUGAUGACACAAGGGACCUUCCUGUCACACAUUCAUUACCUGCAUGUAACGACUGUUUGUUAGAAUGUUUUCUGGGCUUGGCUUUGUGGACGUACUGUGAACAAAUCAAGCUUCUCAGCCACAUGGAACAUCCAAUGAGAAGGCAUACAAUGAGCAUGGAAAAUAGCUUAGAAUACACGUAAACUCAUUGAAUUAGUAGAACUUUAUUUUAGAUGGCGGGGGGUGGGGCGCGGAACAGGGCCUGGAAAUAUAGAGAGGAACUGUCUUCAGACAGCGUUGCUUUGGAGUUUCUCGGAGGAAAUGGCCCUCUAGAUGAGCCCUGAAAAAUGAAAAGGAGCCACUCUUUUGAAGAGCAGGGAAAGACUGUCCAGGUGCAGAUAUGGCGGUGGGCAUAGGGCACACAAAGACUCUGGGAUUAGAAAUAUACAAAGGGACCCUGGAACCGACAGAGGCAGGGGAGUGAGGUGAUGGGGAGCAACAGGAUAUUGGGAGGCAGAGGCUGAGGGAUGAUCUGUGCUGUGACAACACGGGUAUAUAGAUAAAGAAGAAUGGAUUGAGUGGAGUGUAUUAAGAGAUAGGACCAUCAGGGUGUGUGCUCAUGCAUUUAGACAGUUGAGGAUGAGGCUGAGGCUGAGAAGGAGAGGCAGCAGGGAAGUGUUCCACAUUUCUGGUUGGGGCUGUAAUUUACUAAGAUAAAGAAGCCUGGGCAGGUGAGACCAGGUUUGGAGGGUAACACAAAACCAGGUUUGUCCAUGGCUGUGUGGGCAUGGAUCAAGACACGGCCCACGAUGCUAACUUAGCAGCCCGAGGAAUGCUUUCCAGAGGCUUCUUCAGGCAAAGCUGGGCGUCUUAGCUAAGGUUUUUAUUGCUGUGUGGAAUCACCAUGACCACAGCAACCUAUAAAGAAAACAUCUAAGCGGGUGGCUGGCUUGCAGUUUCAGAGGCUCAGUCCAUUAUCAUCAUGGCAGGGAGCGUGGUGGCGUGCAGGCGGACAUCCUCAUGCAGGAGCAGAGUCCUUACAUCUUGGCUUGCAGGCAACAGGAAGUCAACUGACUGUCACACUGAGUGAAGCUUGAGAAAAGAGACCUUAAAGCCUGCGCCCACAGUGACACACUUCCUCCAAGGCCACACCUCCUUCCUAAUAGUGCCACUCAAUUUGGGGGCCAUUUUCUUUCAAACCACCACACUGGGAUUCUUUGCCCCAGAAAAGAAUUUCAGGAUGAGCUGGUAUGAAACGGAGCUGGAUUUUAUUAGGAAGAUAUUUCAACAAAGGUUUAUGUCUAGGGUUGAUAAAAAGAGGGGUGUUAGAGGGGGUGCAAGUGUGGCCUUCUCAAGGUAGACUCACACACUUUUCAGUAACCGUAAAUACUAUUCAGGUAGCUCCCAACUACUAAGAAAACCCCUGUUUCCUUCUCUUCUAAUACAUGAGAUGAUUAUAGGGCUGCUCCAGAGGUGACUUGGAGAGGACCAUCUGUUAAGAAACCAUGGUCACAAGGGCUGCACAGCGGGACUUGACGUGCCUUUUAUUGUAAAUGGGGUUUCUGGUGGGAUUCCUAGAAAAUUGCAAGUUUGCAUAUGGGAAGGGAAUAAGGCCAAACUCAAAGGCCAGCUUAGGCCUGAAGUACGACUUGUUGAUAUUUCAACAUUCUUAUUUGAAAUGCCUCUAUAAAAAAGGAGUAUUGUCUCUAUGUAGGCAGCCUUCACAGUAAUUAUCCCGGAGUUCUUAACUGUCAGCUGCUGUGAGGCUUCAACAGAACUGCAGGCUCCCAGCCUCCUUCCCCUCCUCUUCUCCGGUCUUUCUGUCCUGCUGCGGGUUGAUGCCCUGGAGAGUGCUGAAAAGGCUGCAUUUGAGGAGAACAAGCAGGCAGCCUGAUUCAAGGCUGAUCCUGGAUUCCAGGCCAGGAUGAGCGCGAGAGGACAAGUGCGCCACCUGCUGGAAUUAUCAGGCAAGUUCCAGCUGCGCCUAGCUGAGAAGCAAGCAGCGAUUUCCUCGCCAGUUAGAUUUUAGGCUUUAGGCUUUUGAGUCACCAAAGAGGGUAUGACCUUUUGACCAGUGGCAUCUUUUAUGAAAUUAAUCCCAGAGACAGGUUAUCAGUUUAUUUGGUAACUGGAAACUUAGUACCGAUAGGAACUGCCAAUCAUCUGAGUGCUCAAGUGUGUGUUGUGGGAUGAGUGGUCUAGGGAUGGAGACUAGUAGGCAGACCAUUAACACACAGUGUGUCCACAAAGAUCACGCAGAGGAGACAGGCUGGGGGUCCGACUUCCUAGGGCCUUGCUGGGUGCUGCUCUUGAGUCUAUGAGAGGAACAGGGAUCAAAUGAAGGCAUUCCAGACAGGACUCAGCUGGGACAAAGGUCUGGCUAUCUGGGCUUCACCUCGACUUAAGACCCACCCAGUAAAUCCCUCAUUUAUUUUUCCACCGAGUUGAUGGAGAGAACCCAGCACCUCUUUCCACUGGCUCUUUAUAAAUGCUGGUCCCCAACCUCUAGAAGUGGACACCUACCCUCCACUGUCACUAUGGCCGUGGGGUUUUUAUCUUCACUCAGGAUUCCCAUCCUUUUUCUUUCUACCCAUAAAUUAUGGUGGGUGGAAGAAUGUGCAUAGGUAUCCCCACUCCCUCCCACGGACUUGAAGUCAAUGAAAGUUUGGAAGCAUAAAGAAAGGCUAAAGUUGAUGAAUUAGGGCCUAGGCAACAUAGACUUAUUUAGAGACAAUAUGAAUGAAUGUCACUUCCGUCACACUGCUAUUCAAAUUCACCCAUGACCUCUAUAAAAGUGACCCCACAGGUUAGUGAUACCGCUCAGAUCCCGUAUGAAUUUGUGAAUUAUAGUUGGGUGAUGAUUGGUCAAUCUGUUGUGUGUUGGGCACUGUGGUAGGUACUGAGGACUAGGCUAAUGAGACACAGCCUCCUUUACCAAGAAGCAUACACAUCUCCAUCUCCAAACCCCAUGGCGCUUUGUUUUCUUCUCGUUCCCCAUCCUUGAGGCUACAUUGUGCUGGAGUCCCCGAGUGGGUGCUUAUGACAUCGCCCGUCAGAUGUCUCUGCUGUCCUCUUCCCACCUUCCCUGCAGCUGAGGACAGGCUGUGUGAGCCUGAGCAACGGAGACAGUGGAAAGAAUGUGGCAACUUCCGGUGCACUCUCUUCUUCUUCCUAGGGGUGCAGCCUCGGACCGUAGUGGUGAGCGGACUUUGUCCAUGGCAGUGAGGGCGACACUUGGUGACUGACUGAUAAAGCAGACAACAAAAAGAACCUGCGUCCAUGAACUCAGAACUGUUGGAGCCCACUAGGUUUCCUAGUGACUAUACCCAGCAGGACUGCACAAGAGGAUGAUUGGACCACGGGCCUGGGUACCAGGUGUUUGGAAGGGUCUGCACUUGACUGUAACUAGCAAGGGGGAGGUCUUUUGCUCCACCCCUUGGCAUUGUUAUAAAUAGACCUUUGGAAUAAAGUUCUGGGCCGGUGGAUAAGGAUCCAGGCCCUCUCGAGUCUA